UACGAAGGGGGCUAGCGUUGCUCGGAAUCACUGGGCGUAAAGGGUGCGUAGGCGGGUCUUUAAGUCAGGGGUGAAAUCCUGGAGCUCAACUCCAGAACUGCCUUUGAUACUGAAGAUCUUGAGUUCGGGAGAGGUGAGUGGAACUGCGAGUGUAGAGGUGAAAUUCGUAGAUAUUCGCAAGAACACCAGUGGCGAAGGCGGCUCACUGGCCCGAUACUGACGCUGAGGAGCGAAAGCCAGGGGAGCAAAGCGGGAUUAAGAUGACCCGAGUAGUCC
rnacentral:rRNA from 1 species